GUGCCAGCAGCCGCGGUAAUACGUAGGUGGCAAGCGUUAUCCGGAAUUAUUGGGCGUAAAGCGCGCGUAGGCAGUUUUUUAAGUCUGAUGUGAAAGCCCACGGCUCAACCGUGGAGGGUCAUUGGAAACUGGAAAACUUGAGUGCAGAAGAGGAAAGUGGAAUUCCAUGUGUAGCGGUGAAAUGCGCAGAGAUAUGGAGGAACACCAGUGGCGAAGGCGACUUUCUGGUCUGUAACUGACGCUGAUGUGCGAAAGCGUGGGGAUCAAAC
rnacentral:rRNA from 1 species